UGGGGAAUUUUGGACAAUGGACGCAAGUCUGAUCCAGCCAUGCCGCGUGCGGGAAGAAGGCCUUCGGGUUGUAAACCGCUUUUGUCAGGGAAGAAACGAGUUUCUCUAAUACAGAGACUUAAUGACGGUACCUGAAGAAUAAGCACCGGCUAACUACGUGCCAGCAGCCGCGGUAAUACGUAGGGUGCAAGCGUUAAUCGGAAUUACUGGGCGUAAAGCGUGCGCAGGCGGUUAUGUAAGACAGAUGUGAAAUCCCCGGGCUCAACCUGGGACCUGCAUUUGUGACUGCAUAGCUAGAGUACGGCAGGGGGGGAUGGAAUUCCGCGUGUAGCAGUGAAACGCGUAGAUAUGCGGAGGAACACCGAUGGCGAAGGCAAUCCCCUGGGCCUGUACUGACGCUCAUGCACGAAAGCGUGGGGAGCAAACA
rnacentral:rRNA from 1 species